GACGAACGCUGGCGGCGUGCUUAACACAUGCAAGUCGAACGGAAAGGCCCUGCUUGCAGGGUACACUAGUGGCGAAAGGGUGUGUAACACGUGGGUGAUCUGCCCUGUACUUUGGGAUAAGCCUGGGAAACUGGGUCUAAUACCGGAUAGGAGCCAUUUUUAGUGUGAUGGUUGGAAAGUUUUUUCGGUGUGGGAUGGGCUCGCGGCCUAUCAGCUUGUUGGUGGGGUAAUGGGCUACCAAGGCGGCGACGGGGAGCCGGCCUGAGAGGGUGGACGGCCACAUUGGGACUGAGAUACGGCCCAGACUCCUACGGGAGGCAGCAGUGGGGAAUAUUGCACAAUGGGCGCAAGCCUGAUGCAGCGACGCCGCGUGGGGGAUGACGGCCAUCGGGUUGUAAACUCCUUUCGCUAGGGACGAAGCUUUUUGUGACGGUACCUGGAUAAGAAGCACCGGCUAACUACGUG
rnacentral:rRNA from 1 species